GGCCCAGUGGUGUAGUUGGUCAUCACGUCGUUCUUAUAAUUGCAUUUGCGAUGCAAUUUAUGCGAAGGUCCUGAGUUCAAGCCUCAGUUGGACCA
rnacentral:tRNA from 1 species